GGCCAGACUCCUACGGGAGGCAGCAGUGGGGGAUAUUGCACAAUGGGGGGAACCCUGAUGCAGCGACGCCGCGUGGGUGAAGGAGUGCUUCGGCAUGUAAAGCCCUAUCGGCAGGGAAGAAGCAAGACGGUACCUGACUAAGAAGCCCCGGCUAACUACGUGCCAGCAGCCGCGGUAAUACGUAGGGGGCGAGCGUUAUCCGGAUUUAUUGGGUUUAAAGGGUGCGCAGGCGGCACGGCAAGCCGGCGGUCAAAUCGCGGGGCUCAACCCCGCCCAGCCGUCGGAACUGCCGGGCUAGAGUGGGCGAGAAGUGCGCGGAAUGCGUGGUGUAGCGGUGAAAUGCAUAGAUAUCACGCAGAACUCCGAUUGCGAAGGCAGCAUACCGGCGCCCAACUGACGCUGAAGCACGAAAGCGUGGGUAUCGAACAGGAUUAGAUACCCCAGUA
rnacentral:rRNA from 1 species